CUGAUUCAUUGCUCAGGAAGCAGCCAUCAGGUAACAUUUCUAGAGCCCUUUUUGGGAAAGUAGAAGUGGAAUGAAUGAGGCCAAGGUCAUAGGAGCCAUGUCUCAUAACAAGUAUUAAAAAAAAAUGUUCCUUGGUCCCACCCUGUGCCCUCUGUUGGCUGUGAGAGGGCUUCAGUCCCCAGGACAGGGGUGACUGAAUGGCAGGAGGCCCAUGUGGCAGGCCCUCCAGGACUGUCUGUUUCGAUGAAGGGCAUGAGAUUGCACAUGUUGCCAUAUCAGUGCCAGUCCUCCCAGCCCCCCCACACCUGCUCACAGAACCAGCCCUCCUCUUCUCACUCCCCGCCGUGCUGUCAGCAUCCUUGGCUCCCUCAGGCCAGCCCUAGUCACAGGAGCCUGUUGCAGGAAGUACAGGCAAAAGAAAAGGCUGAUAUAACUAAGCAUGCAAGACGCCAACACCCUCCUCCUCCUCAGUACGUCCAAGUUUCCUUUGCUCUGAGCCACAAACGCUCUGCUUCUCCCUUCGCUCUCGCCCACCUCACCCCCGCCCCCGCAGGUUUCCGAGUCAUCAGGGAACGCGAGUGGGUGAAAGGACUCGGAGCUGCUGCAUCCAGAGCCGCCGCCUCCUCCUGCGCCUCCUCCGUGCCGCCUCGGGUUCAGCACUGGACAGCUCCCGCCCCAGCCCAACAAAUGGCAGUCGGCUGAUUGACAGAGGAGCCGACCAAACAGGGAACCAGACGGCUUGAAGCCGCCCGCCCUUCAUGGGUUUGGUUGCGGCCAAGCUGCCUCUUUAAACCGGCUUUCCUCCCGAGAAGGGGGAGACAGGAGUGUGGUUUGUGGCCAAACCUGAGGACUCCGGUUAACCAGUUGCCUGGUCCUAUAAACUCCAGAAAGACAAUCGUCUUCAAAGACACCUUCGCUCUUUGGGACCGAGUCGUGCGCUCGCCGUGGGGAUCCGUGUGCGCGCACUCGGCGCCUCCCCGCGGAGCAGCGAGGAGGAGCCAGAGCCGGGAGGCGGGAACGACCUGCCACGGGUGAGAUGAUGGAGCGGCGUCUUUGGCGGCCGCGGCGGCAGCAGCAGCAGCAGCAGCAGCAGCAGCAGCAGCAGCUCUCGAACACACCUCAAUGAGAGCGACGGUGGAAGCUGCUGAGCAGGAAGACGUAAGCAGGCUAACUGUAGCCGCCGGCUGCGAGAGGGGAUGUAACCUGUUCGGCUCAAGGCUGUGAGGUGCGUAAUCCCGAGCCGACCCAUUAUGGAGCGGGUGCAGCCAGCGUUGCCACAGGUGAUUUGAUUUCCUGUGACGGUAGCUUAGCCAGCCGGGCCAAUUCCGAAACAUUCUUAUUUUAAAGUCCUUUUCGACUGGGUGCCGCCAUCUGGAGAAGGGGACGACUCCGAGUAAAAAGUCUUACUGUUGAUAAAUUGGCGACCAAAUUUUACAAAGUGUCUCCCGUUACCUC
rnacentral:lncRNA from 12 species